AAUGAACGCUGGCGGCGCGCCUAAUACAUGCAAGUCGAGCGAGAAGACGUAGCAAUACGUUUGUAAAGCGGCGAACGGGUGAGGAAUACAUGGGUAACCUACCCUCGAGUGGGGAAUAACUAGCCGAAAGGUUAGCUAAUACCGCGUACGCUUCUUGGACUUCGGUUCAGGGAGGAAAGCGAUGCCGAGGGUAUCGCGCUCUUGGAUGGGCUCAUGUCCUAUCAGCUUGUUGGGAGGUAACGGCUCACCAAGGCUUCGACGGGUAGCUGGUCUGAGAGGACGAUCAGCCACACUGGCACUGCGACACGGGCCAGACUCCUACGGGAGGCAGCAGUAAGGAAUAUUGCGCAAUGGACGACAAUCUGACGCAGCGACGCCGCGUGGGGGACGAAGGUCUUCGGAUUGUAAACCCCCUUUCGGGAGGGAAGAUGGAAUGGGGUAACCUAUUCGGAC
rnacentral:rRNA from 1 species